rnacentral:rRNA from 1 species
AUUGAACGCUGGCGGCAUGCCUUACACAUGCAAGUCGAACGGUAACAGGUUAAGCUGACGAGUGGCGAACGGGUGAGUAAUGUAUCGGAACAUGCCCAGUCGUGGGGGAUAACUGCUCGAAAGAGCAGCUAAUACCGCAUACGACCUGAGGGUGAAAGCGGGGGAUCGCAAGACCUCGCGCGAUUGGAGCGGCCGAUAUCAGAUUAGGUAGUUGGUGAGGUAAAGGCUCACCAAGCCGACGAUCUGUAGCUGGUCUGAGAGGACGACCAGCCACACUGGGACUGAGACACGGCCCAGACUCCUACGGGAGGCAGCAGUGGGGAAUUUUGGACAAUGGGCGCAAGCCUGAUCCAGCCAUGCCGCGUGCGGGAAGAAGGCCUUCGGGUUGUAAACCGCUUUUGUCAGGGAAGAAAAGGUUCUGGCUAAUACCUGGGACUCAUGACGGUACCUGAAGAAUAAGCACCGGCUAACUACGUG